GGGGUGACAUUAUGGGACAGUACUAUGAAGCAGCGCAAGGGGGGUGAUUCUAUGGGUCGAUGCUAUGGGACAGAACUAUGCGUCCCCCCCAGACUGGGGACUCUGUGGGGAAGUGCUAUGGGGUGAUGCUAUAGGGCAACACUAUGGGGCAGUGCUCUAGGAAGCUGGUAUGAAGUGAUGCUAUGGGCCGGAACAAUGGGAUGUCACUAUGGGGCAUUGCUAAGGGGGUGACAUUAUGUGGCAGCGCUAUGAGGUCACAGUAUGGUGCAUUGCUAUGGAGUGACACUGUGGAGCAGCGCUUUGGAGUUGAGGGAAGUUGCGGGGGUGAUGGCCAAAGUGCUCUCCAUCAUCUGUCAGCACUCCUGGUCAGCUGGAGAGGUCUCAGAAGACGGAGAAUUGCCAACGUGAUCCCAUCUCCAAGAAGGGCUGUAAGGAGAAUCCAGGAACUGCAGGCUGCCAGCCUGAGUCGGGUGCCAGGAAAGGGUCUCCUACUGUGAUAUCAUUUCAACAUGCCUGAAAUCAGCAACCAGUUGCUUCCUCUGACUGAAGUAAUUCCCUUGACCCAAAAGAUUGAUGCAAGUACAGCAGACAUCAUCAAACUAUUUUCCGAAUUGCAUUGCAAAGUUGUGUAUGGCCACCAUCCUCCAAAUUCAUUCCCUGAACAGAUCUUUGGCAUGAUGCUCCUGACAUUCCCAGUUUCCCAAACCCACAAAAUAAAUAGGGUUUUGAAGGCCAAGUGCCACGUGCCCUUCAUCCUUUCACAGCAUAACAGAGUUG
rnacentral:lncRNA from 1 species